rnacentral:rRNA from 1 species
AGCAAACAGGAUUAGAUACCCUGGUAGUCCACACCGUAAACGAUGAUUACUAGGUGUUGGAGGAUUGACCCCUUCAGUGCCGCAGUUAACACAAUAAGUAAUCCACCUGGGGAGUACGACCGCAAGGUUGAAACUCAAAGGAAUUGACGGGGGCCCGCACAAGCAGUGGAGUAUGUGGUUUAAUUCGACGCAACGCGAAGAACCUUACCAAGUCUUGACAUCCUGCGACGGUGCUGGAAACAGUACUUUCCUUCGGGACGCAGAGACAGGUGGUGCAUGGUUGUCGUCAGCUCGUGUCGUGAGAUGUUGGGUUAAGUCCCGCAACGAGCGCAACCCUUAUGGUCAGUUACUACGCAAGAGGACUCUGGCCAGACUGCCGUUGACAAAACGGAGGAAGGUGGGGAUGACGUCAAAUCAUCAUGCCCUUUAUGACCUGGGCUACACACGUACUACAAUGGCGUUUAACAAAGAGAAGCAAGACCGCGAGGUGGAGCAAAACUCAAAAACAACGUCUCAGUUCAGAUUGCAGGCUGCAACUCGCCUGCAUGAAGUCGGAAUUGCUAGUAAUCGCGGAUCAGCAUGCCGCGGUGAAUACGUUCCCGGGCCUUGUACACACCGCCCGUCACACCAUGAGAGCCGGGGGGACCCGAAGUCGGUAGUCUAACCGCAAGGAGGACGCCGCCGAAGGUAAAACUGGUGAUUGGGGUGAAGUCGUAACAAGGUAGCCGUAGGGGAACCUGCGGCUG